GACGAACGCUGGCGGCGUGCUUAACACAUGCAAGUCGAACGGAAAGGCCCUGCUUUUGUGGGGUGCUCGAUUGGCGAACGGGUGAGUAACACGUGAGUAACCUGCCCUUGACUUUGGGAUAACUUCACGAAACUGGGGCUAAUACCGGAUAGGAGCUCCUGCUGCAUGGUGGGGGUUGGAAAGUUUCGGCGGUUGGGUAUGGACUCGCGGCUUAUCAGCUUGUUGGUGGGGUAGUGGCUUACCAAGGCUUUGACGGGUAGCCGGCCUGAGAGGGGGACCGGCCACAUUGGGACUGAGAUACGGACCAGAAUCCUACGGGAGGCAGCAGUGGGGAAUAUUGCACAAUGGGCGGAAGCCUGAUGCAGCAACGCCGCGUGCGGGAUGACGGCCUUCGGGUUGUAAACCGCUUUCGCCUGUGACGAAGCGUGAGUGACGGUAAUGGGUAAAGAAGCAACGGCUAACUACGUG
rnacentral:rRNA from 1 species